UUGGAUAGGGAAACCCUUUCUUCAUGGAUUGGGAAAGCCCAAGGAUCAAAUCAAAUAAUCAAAAUAAAAAUUAGGUCUUCUCUUUCUCUCUGCCUCAAUUUCCAAGCAGGUGGGAAUAAUCCAUCCCAAAAACCUCACCGAUCCAAUGACCUCUAAGCUAGUUGCUUCCAAUCUCCGUCACCACAUCACAAAAUCAGCCAAAAACCUCCGCCCGAAGCUUCUCUCCACGGCAGUGGAGGCGGCGGUCCCGGAACACGAUGGGAACAACUCGUCCGGAAUGACGAUGAAGGGCGUUCGAAUCUCCGGAAGACCCCUCUAUCUGGACGUCCAGGCAACAUCCCCGAUGGACCCGCGUGUAGUUGACGCGAUGCUGCCUUUCUAUCUCACUCGUUACGGAAACCCUCACUCUCGCACCCACUUCUACGGCUGGGAAUCCGACGACGCCGUGGAACACGCGCGCGCUCAGGUAGCGUCCCUCAUAGGUGCGUCCCCCAAGGAGAUAAUCUUCACCUCCGGUGCGACCGAGUCCAACAACAUCUCCGUCAAAGGCGUCAUGCAUUUCUAUAAGGACAAGAAGCGGCACGUGAUAACCACGCAGACGGAGCACAAGUGCGUCCUCGAUUCCUGCCGCUACCUCCAGCAGGAAGGUUUCGAGGUCACCUAUCUUCCGGUUGAAUCUGACGGGUUGAUUGAUUUGGAGAAGCUUAGGGCUGCGAUUAGGCCCGACACGGGGCUUGUUUCGGUGAUGGCGGUGAACAAUGAAAUUGGAGUAGUUCAGCCGGUGGAGGAAAUUGGGAGAAUUUGCAAGGAGUUUAAUGUGCCGUUUCAUACUGAUGCGGCUCAGGCGUUGGGGAAGAUUCCCAUUGAUGUGGAGAAGUGGAAUGUGAGUUUGAUGUCGUUGAGUGGGCAUAAGGUUUAUGGUCCUAAGGGAGUUGGGGCUUUGUAUCUACGUCGGAGGCCUAGGAUUCGGGUUGAGCCUCAGAUGAACGGAGGUGGCCAAGAGAGGGGGAUUCGGAGUGGUACUGUUCCCACUCCUUUGGUUGUGGGCAUGGGUGCGGCGUGCGAGGUGGCUAAAAACGAGAUGGAUUAUGAUGAGAAGAGGAUUUCUAGUUUGCAACAAAGACUCCUUAAUGGGAUUAGAGAGAAGCUUGAUGGGGUGGUGGUGAAUGGGAGCUUGGAGAGGCGCUAUGUGGGGAAUUUAAAUUUGUCUUUUGCGUAUGUUGAAGGGGAGAGUUUGCUCAUGGGGUUGAAGGAGGUGGCUGUGUCCAGUGGCAGUGCCUGCACUAGUGCUAGCCUAGAGCCUUCGUACGUUUUGAGGGCGUUGGGAGUGGAGGAGGACAUGGCUCACACUUCUAUUAGGUUUGGAAUUGGGAGGUUCACUACCGAAGCUGAAAUUGACAGAGCAGUGAAGCUCACUGUUCAGCAGGUGGAGAAAUUGAGGGAAAUGAGUCCGCUGUAUGAAAUGGUCAAGGAAGGGAUCAACAUCAAGGAUAUUCAAUGGGCACAGCACUGAUCAUUGGCCUUUCCAAUUGCAUUUCAGUACAGAUGAUCACAUGACCUUCUCCAAUGCAUCCUAGCUCUCCCACAGCUUAAGGUUUACCUGUCAAGUUUAGCACUAGUUUUGUUCUUGGGUGGUGGAUUAGGGGAUCAAACGCAGAAAAUGCUUGAGACUAGAACUUGUGACAAACGAGAGGGUAUUGAAAUGGGAAGGGAUGGAGCGGUGGUGAAAACAUAGGAGGGAGUUGGAGGUGUUCAAAGUGUGGGUACCUAACUAUAAACCUAAAUCAACUCAAUCCAAACAUUCAAACACCAUUGUUUGCAAUUUGUGGAAUGUUUGUAUAAAUCCAUCAAACCUCUGAUGUUUGGAUGGAAUAUAGGGUUAGUGUUGAACCUGCUUAAUUAAUGCAUAUUUGAAAUUUUAAUUUAUUAUUUAUAUAUAUUUAGUGUUUUCUCAUGUGCACACAGGUUGAUAAUUGAUGCUGUGACAUUUUCUUUUGUUCAUUUUUUAUUUGGUCCAUCUUACUGUUUGUCUUUUUUAUUUGUUGGGUAAACAGUGACAUAUUUGGAUUUUAUUAUAAUAAGAAAAAAACUUAUAUUCCAAGUGUAAUACUUUUAUUCCAAACUGCUUUAAUGAUUAAGAAAUAAGUUGAUUUGCAUGCA